rnacentral:lncRNA from 1 species
AAGCUAUAAAUCAUUAGCAUGGUAUGAAGGUAUGAGCCCUAAUUUUCCAUGCCUUAUCAUGACAUAAAUGGCCUUGUGACAGCUUUUUCCAGUGUAACCGUAUAAGUUACUUAGGUACAGGUAGAUGCACAGCUCCACCAUGAUCAACAGAUGCAAGAAUAACGUAACAAACAAAUGACUUCAGUUGGGGGUGAGUUUAACAAUUGGUCCAAUUGACUAUGGCCCAUGAAUUGAAAACUGCAAUAACUCCACGGUGAUGAGACCCCACCCAUGCCACCAAAUCCAGGUUGGUGAUGGGGUAAACAAAGCAAUGUUCUUUUCUCCUUUUUUUCCCCCCUGAGGUGUGUGAUGGUCAAGGUCCUGGUUUGUUUACUAUAGGACGGUCGUCUUAAAGUCAUUUGGACUCUGGGUUGGAAAUAUAGGAGGGGAGCAUUAAGUGUUAACUUGUUUUAUUUGUAGAUAACUAGUAUGGUACUCUGGAGAGGUAUGUGUUGUUUUAGCAGCCCAGCACAAGGGGUUUGAUGGUUGAUCUGUAUUGGGCCUAUUGGCUAUUUGGCUUAAAAAUGUCUGGAACUAGAGAUUUACCUCGGUGAGCAGUUAUAGAUGGUGUGCAGCUUGUUUUUAGCAAACACUGCUAGUGCUUGUUUUUAGCUAACUAUAUAUAGAGUGCAAGUUAUUUUUACUAAUGCCUGCUUCUAAUGCAUAUUUGAUUUAUGUAUGGUUUCUAUUUUGGUUUUAGGUUUAAAUGAAAGGACUAAAUAGUUGAACAUUAAGUCAGAACAAUUUAUGAAUUGCGAAUGUCUUGUAGAAUACCAACUACCAAGUCAUUGCUUCAGUGAGACGUAGAAAUGGAAGGAUGUGUCAGGUCAUUGAAGCUUUGCUUUACAAAAGACAGAAAGAAACAGAAAUGAAUAUGAUUGCAGCCUUUUACGAUGAACGGUGUUAAUGUUUGCAGAUAUUGCUCACCUGGCUAGCUGAGUUGUGAGCAUUAUAAAUGUGCGAUCAGUGAUUAAAAGCAAUAAUAAGAUACUGCAAAGAAAUAUAUUAGUUACAUAAAUAGAAAUAACACACAAUUGAAAAUACCAUGUCAUAUAAUUUCAUCUCCCUGCCUUGACAGUUCCCAUUCACUGUUUACCAUAGUAAUCAUAUCCAUUGUUUGUUUGUAUUAAUGUUGUCAAGCUAAUGUCAGAACAAAUUAACAAGUAAUAUCAUGUCGUGUAAAGAACUACAGUUUGGUUUGCUAACACUGAUUAUGCUUGAUCUUUUAUAGCGCUACGUAAUACAUUAUAUGAUCUAAUAUUUUUGUGAUCUGUCUUUAAUUAAUUAUACUGGGGGUUAUUUUUAUAUGAUCCCAGUUUCAGUUUCUUUAAUACUACCUCCGUUUCAGGUUGUAAGACUUUUUAGUAUUGUCCACAUUCUUAUAGAUGUUAAUGAAUCUAGGCACACAUAUAUGUUUAGAUUUAUUAACAUAUAUAUGAAUGUGGGCAAUGCUAGAAAGUCUUAUAAUAUGAAACGGAGGAAGUAUCAUUUAAAAGAAGUUCCAAAAUUCAAGGUUUUUUACUGAUAAAAAUGCAUGGAAUGAUAUUAAAAAAAAUCAAUUAAAGAAGAAUUUGCAAAAACAAUGCCUCUUAUAUUCCAUCUAUAAGGUUCAUAUGGAAUCAAUGUUUCUUAGGUAUACAGAGAAGAACAGAAAAGACCAUCGAUUGCAUGAAGAAAGAGAGAGGUAGCUAAUCCUUAUUACUGGUCUUAUGUUCCAGUUACCGUGAUAAAAAUGUCUGCAUGUCAUCUCUUUCUCCCUGGAGUUCAACCUGCUUUUGAAACGAAGGGCAGGAACUCUGCCUCAUUCCUAACAGAAGAAUAAGAAAACAAGCUACAAAUCCAGUCAAAAACACCACAAAACCGGCUCAUGUUAACUAGCAUAUUUACUGGCUCUUCUCUAGUAAUUCUUUGACCGUAGUAUCUUAAUCAAAAAGCACAGGAGUUUCUGAUAUCACUGCCCUGCAGCAGGAAUAUGUGGUGACAGAAGAAACAGAAGGACGCAAGAGCGAGCGAUCUCUACAUCGGCAGCUACAGUGAUUGGACUAUUAGCUGAUGAUAUCUCCACAGUGCCUUACUGUGAAGAUGCACAGCCUCUUAAAUGGCACCAGAUGGAUGGUCUCCCCCGAUUACCUUUCCUUGAGGUAUGUCUUGUUUAGCUCUUUCCCACAGGGGCAGCACUUUUAAAGCACGCAUAUAACACAAUGCUUGUAUUCAAAGCGGUCCAAACUGCAAAAGCGGUUAGCGCCCCACUGAUGCACUGAAGGCUGUCAUAAUACUUCAACUAUUGAGUGGUUCAGUGUGUGAACAUUGCAGGUAAAAAUGUUUUAUCUGUCACUGUAGACGCGCAAAGAUGAAAGAAGACAGCCAUAAAUACUUUCUGGCCUGGGUAACCGAUCGGUUCAGUAAAACACCAUGGGUGCUAUCUUGAGUUCUUGACUUCUUCCAUGUAAACAUGCAAACACCAUCUUGCAAGUCCUGACUCUGCAUUGGUAUGACCUUUCGAUCUCUAUUAGUAUUAUUUUCUGACAGUCCUUUGCAUCUGCUAUGCAUAAAUAACCUACGUUUAAUACUUCAAAUGUGUAUCUGUAUAAGUCAAUUUUUUUGCCAAAACAACUAAACACGGCUCUUUAGGAAUUCAGAGCAGGAAAACUCUGCCUAAAAUUUAUGAGUCUAAAGCCUGCAUAUGCAGUGGUGUCAGUUUCCGCACUGUUUUGCGGUCAGGUGCAACCAAUCUGACCUAAUUAGAAUGUUGGAUGUUGACAUUAGGUGCGAUAACCAUGAGGUUUGACGAGUAAAGUAACGUCGGCAUGAAGAUUAAUCCCAUCAUUUGCCUAAUUCCAGGACACUGUUAGCUACAGACGAUUUACGGAUCAUAAUUUAAUGUAUUCACUUGUAGCACUAUAUGGUUAUUACUGCUGAUCAUUUUCCACGUGAAAGACAAAAUGUUAGGUAGCAAGGGGUGGUUCUUCCGUGCAAGCCUCUGGCAGUGGCUUUCCUUUGCUUGCGCCUGAGUUGUCAUGUAAAUUGUAAUUUUCUGAUGUAUGUAAUUUUGUUCUUUUAUCCAGAGGCAGGACAUGAUUGAAUGAAAAACCCAACAGCAAGCUGACAUCAAUGUUUUUCUACGGUUUUUACGUCAAGAGAUUAUGACAUGACACAAGAAAUGUAGACAAGAUUGUCACCUUGUAGAAGGCAGGCAUUUUAUUUCCCUCUGUUGUUAGCAUCUUUUAUACACAUUUGGUAAAAAGGCAUACUAAUUCAUCAUUCUGCAGAUCCAUAGGAGAAUAAUUGAUUAGAGCCGGACCAUACAG